rnacentral:rRNA from 1 species
GACGAACGCUGGCGGCGUGCUUAACACAUGCAAGUCGAACGAGAAUCUGUGGAUCGAGGAUUCGUCCAAGUGAAGCAGAGGACAGUGGCGGACGGGUGAGUAACGCGCGAGGAACCUGCCUUUCAGAGGGGGGCAACAGGUGGAAACGACUGCUAAUACCGCAGGAUACAUUUGGGUGGCCUACUCUGAAUGUCAAAGAUUUAUCGCUGAAAGAUGGCCUCGCGUCUGAUUAGCUGGUUGGUGAGGUAACGGCCCACCAAGGCGACGAUCGGUAGCCGGACUGAGAGGUUGACCGGCCACAUUGGGACUGAGAUACGGCCCAGACUCCUACGGGAGGCAGCAGUGGGGAAUAUUGGACAAUGGGCGCAAGCCUGAUCCAGCCAUGCCGCGUGAGUGAUGAAGGCCUUCGGGUUGUAAAGCUCUUUUGUCCGGGAAGAUAAUGACUGUACCGGAAGAAUAAGCCCCGGCAAACUUCGUGCCAGCCGCCGCGGUAA